rnacentral:rRNA from 1 species
GACGAACGCUAGCGGCGUGCUUAACACAUGCAAGUCGAACGGAAAGGCCCUGCUUUUGUGGGGUGCUCGAGUGGCGAACGGGUGAGUAACACGUGAGUAACCUGCCCUUGACUUUGGGAUAACUUCAGGAAACUGGGGCUAAUACCGGAUAGGAGCUCCUGCUGCAUGGUGGGGGUUGGAAAGUUUCGGCGGUUGGGGAUGGACUCGCGGAUUAUCAGCUUGUUGGUGGGGUAGUGGCUUACCAAGGCUUUGAGGGGUAGCAGGACUGAGAGGGUGACCGGCCACAUGAGGACUGAGAUAAGGCACAGACGCCUACGGGAGGCAGCAGUGGGGAAUAGUGCACAAUGGGCGGAAGCCUGAUGCAGCAACGCCGCGUGCGGGAUGACGGCCUUCGGGUUGUAAACCGCUUUCGCCUGAGACGAAGCGUGAGUGACGGUAAUGGGUAAAGAAGCACCGGCUAACUACGUG